UCAUGCCAUCUCAUGUGCUAAUCUGGAAAUCGGUAAUUAGUGUAACGACAGUUUGCGGGCGUGACGUCACCGUUGCCUGGGGCAAGGUUGGGUAGUUGUCUUGGUAGGCCCAAGCAAGGUGAACGCUCUUUUUAGCAGAGGCCGUCACGGUAAUUGGACGGUGUGGUGUGGUAGUCCCGAGCUGUGGGCCACACUAAUAUCACGUCGGCUACUGACAUUUUAUAAUUUAAACUAUAAGAACUGUGGGCUGCUAUUUCAAGCUCUACUACUGACAUUGUAUGAUCAAGCAAGAAGAUUGAAGAUGCUGAUCCAGAAUAUAUGUGCGAUAUGCAAUGUAAUGAAAUGCAUUGAACAUUGAAAUAUAUAUAUAUAUAAAUCGGUGAACUAAGAACAGUGAUCAGUGAAGUAGUGAACAAUGAAAAUGAACAUUAUAGCCCUGUGAACAAUUAAUAUUUCCUUGCGUGUUUUUUUUUUUUAGCUUCGUGUUUAUUUAAAUUAUAUAUACAUUUGUUCUAGUAUAAUAAAUACUAAAUAAUAUGAAGUCUUUCUGUACAACCCAUUAAUUACAAAUUCCUCUCAUUCAAAAAAAAA